AGCGAGAUGGAGCAGUUAGGAGUGCUCGUCGGGCUCAUAACCCGGAGGUCGUAGGUUCAAAUCCUUCUCUCGCUA
rnacentral:tRNA from 1 species